rnacentral:lncRNA from 1 species
CAAUUAAAAACUUAAGAAAAACCAAAUUGAAGUGAAAACAAAAUGCAGAGGGAUUCAAUGUGCAAAUAGACCAAUUAAUAAAAAUACGUGGAUCCUCCCCGGGUCGGGUCACACGCGCAGGUUGCAGGUCUAAAACGGCACCAUUUAAGAGCCACUGAAUCAGGCAAUACGGCGUCGUUUCUCAUCUCCCCACUUAACCCAACAUUAACGCUAUUGCCCUAAUCAGAAAAGAAAAGAAAAAGAUAAAAAAAACUAAAAAAACUCCUUUCGCCUAGAGUUGCGCCGCUCCAGCACCCUCGAACAGUCCCCGAUCCUAGCCCGUACUCCGAUGACGACGGAGACGGCCGAGGUCGCACUGCUAGGUACGACUUCUAACCUCCCC